rnacentral:rRNA from 1 species
UACGAAGGGGGCUAGCGUUGUUCGGAAUUACUGGGCGUAAAGCGCGCGCAGGCGGUCUUCCAAGUCAGUGGUGAAAGCCCGGAGCUCAACUUCGGAACUGCCAUUGAAACUGUUAGACUUGAGGACGAGAGAGGUGAGUGGAAUUCCCAGUGUAGAGGUGAAAUUCGUAGAUAUCAGGAAGAACACCCGUGGCGAAGGCGGCUCUCUGGAACGCAACUGACGCUGAGACGCGAAAGCGUGGGGAGCAAACAGG